rnacentral:rRNA from 1 species
UACAGAGGGUGGCGAGCGUUAAUUGGAAUUACUGGGCGUAAAGCGUGCGCAGGCGGUCUGUUAAGACCGAUGUGAAAUCCCCGGGCUUAACCUGGGAACUGCAUUGGUGACUGGCAGGCUUUGAGUGUGGCAGAGGGAGGUAGAAUUCCACGUGUAGCAGUGAAAUGCGUAGAGAUGUGGAGGAAUACCGAUGGCGAAGGCAGCCUCCUGGGCCAACACUGACGCUCAUGCACGAAAGCGUGGGAGCAAACAGG